rnacentral:rRNA from 1 species
GACGAACGCUGGCGGCGUGCUUAACACAUGCAAGUCGAACGGUAAGGCUCCAGCUUGCUGGGGUACACGAGUGGCGAACGGGUGAGUAACACGUGGGUGACCUGCCCUGCACUUCGGGAUAAGCCUGGGAAACUGGGUCUAAUACCGGAUAGGACCGCACCGUGAGGGUGUGGUGGAAAGUUUUUUCGGUGUGGGAUGGGCCCGCGGCCUAUCAGCUUGUUGGUGGGGUAAUGGCCUACCAAGGCGGCGACGGGUAGCCGGCCUGAGAGGGUGGACGGCCACAUUGGGACUGAGACACGGCCCAGACUCCUACGGGAGGCAGCAGUGGGGAAUAUUGCACAAUGGGCGGAAGCCUGAUGCAGCGACGCCGCGUGGGGGAUGACGGCCUUCGGGUUGUAAACUCCUUUCACCAUCGACGAAGGGUUUCUGACGGUAGAUGGAGAAGAAGCACCGGCUAACUACGUGCCAGCAGCCGCGGUAAUACGUAGGGUGCGAGCGUUGUCCGGAAUUACUGGGCGUAAAGAGCUCGUAGGUGGUUUGUCGCGUCGUCUGUGAAAUUCCGGGGCUUAACUCCGGGCGUGCAGGCGAUACGGGCAUAACUUGAGUACUGUAGGGGAGACUGGAAUUCCUGGUGUAGCGGUGAAAUGCGCAGAUAUCAGGAGGAACACCGGUGGCGAAGGCGGGUCUCUGGGCAGUAACUGACGCUGAGGAGCGAAAGCAUGGGGAGCGAACAGGAUUAGAUACCCUGGUAGUCCAUGCCGUAAACGGUGGGCGCUAGGUGUGGGUUUCCUUCCACGGGAUCCGUGCCGUAGCUAACGCAUUAAGCGCCCCGCCUGGGGAGUACGGCCGCAAGGCUAAAACUCAAAGGAAUUGACGGGGGCCCGCACAAGCGGCGGAGCAUGUGGAUUAAUUCGAUGCAACGCGAAGAACCUUACCUGGGCUUGACAUAUACAGGAUCGCGCCAGAGAUGGUGUUUCCCUUGUGGCUUGUAUACAGGUGGUGCAUGGUUGUCGUCAGCUCGUGUCGUGAGAUGUUGGGUUAAGUCCCGCAACGAGCGCAACCCUUGUCUUAUGUUGCCAGCACGUUGUGGUGGGGACUCGUAAGAAACUGCCGGGGUUAACUCGGAGGAAGGUGGGGAUGACGUCAAAUCAUCAUGCCCCUUAUGUCCAGGGCUUCACACAUGCUACAACGGUCGGUACAGUGGGUUGCCAGUCCGUGAGGGCGAGCUAAUCCCGCAAAACCGGUCUCAGUUCGGAUCGGGGUCUGCAACUCGACCCCGUGAAGUCGGAGUCGCUAGUAAUCGCAGAUCAGCAACGCUGCGGUGAAUACGUUCCCGGGCCU